AAUUUCUGGUUUGCUGCAGCAAAUGCAAUGAUAAAAAGAGACAAAGGUAUAUUGCAUUUAAAAGAAUGCAAGGUGAUACUAGAGUAUCAUACUAUUAUACUAGAGUAUCAUGCUAUGCGUGAAAAACUUGAUAACAGGUAAAUCAUCAAAAUUGAUAGCAAUUAAAAAUAUCGUGGAUCCAUAUAGAAUCUUGUUAAAACAAUCCCAAGUAAGAUUAUAGGCUAAAGAAAAGCUUCCAAGUACUGUUAAUCUAUUGCUUGAACCCAUGCAGUACAACUAGGAUACCCUGCAGAAAAUAUAUGUUCUCUUUUUUAUGCUUAAUAGAAUAGAAAUUAGAAUUAUCUGCUUUCUGGGACAAGCAUUAAGAAAGUUCAAUCAAUAUAGCUCUGUGUUAAGCACUUUUAGAUGUAAGAUGACCUGUUUUUGUGUUGCUCUAAUUUGGUGCAUCUUUUAUAGGACCAAUAUAUAUGUCAAUCCA
rnacentral:misc_RNA from 1 species